rnacentral:lncRNA from 1 species
AGUCCCGCGGGCCUGGUCCCAGGCUGCUUGGGUUGUGCGGGUACCUGGUCCCCCAGGGCGGAGCCGCAGCGCUCCUGGUCUGCGGGACGUGGCCCUGUAGCUGGAACCUGGCGCAACUCAGAGAGCUGUCCUCGCAGAGGCGCUGGUCCCAGACCUGCGGCUCCUACCCCGGCCGGCGCUGGCUGGAGGCUUUAGGUUCAUUCUUGUAAGUGUUGCUGGUGUCAGAAUAGGAACCUCCCUGCGCUUUGAAGGGAUGAAUGUGACCUCUCCCACAUUCUCCGGUGCUGUGAUGUACCUUAAACACAGCAAGGUACUUGGACACAAAGCCUGUGCCUGGAGCCCUUAUGCACUUUCAGACAGACAGUGCAUGGCCCUCGCUACAGACUCAGUGCCAUUGUAGAUGUUUCUGCAUGGAAAAUACAUAAACACAAAUAUCUGCAGUUGCCAAUCCACCACCAUCUUGCAGCCCCAAGAGAGCCCCGGGAAUCCAGGUUCCUUUGGUAUUUCUGCUCCCUGCCCUUGGUGCAUAGCCUCCAUCCCCAGGACGACAAGAGGGCUGACUGAGCCCUAACAUCAUCCCACAGUCCAGCUGGGAAGAGAGCCAGCGACAAAGCCAGAGGGAGCUAGCUCCCACACCUCCCAGCCCCAGCUGAGUUCGCUUCUUGAGGGUAUUUUCUGGAAGCCCCGCCUGUGACUUCUGCUGACACCUCACUGGCCAUCUCAACUGCAAGGCAGCCUAGGAAAUGUAGUGCUUACCUGUACACGUGGAUUCCUGGAAUCAAUUCAGGGUCUGUCCUUGGGGAACCAGAGUGGGGAUAUUCAGUCACCAAAGAUGCAGGUUCCCAGCUGUCCAGUGAAGUGACACCUGGCCUGGGUGGAGCCCACUCCUCAGCACCCACCUCACUUCUGGCAGUAUUCUGCAGACCCCAGCCCUGUGCCUGUGCUCCUGCACAGCUGGAGAUAAGGAGUGGGCCCUGGAAGAUGCUCAGUCAGGCCCUGCUCCAGAUUUUAGUUUCGCGGAUAAGCACCACUAUGUGUCUCUGCUCUUUUUGUUUUGCUGUAAAGACACAUUGAUAGGUUAAAAUUGUUGUUUGUGCACAACACGGAUCAUGUAGCGUCUUCACAUUAACCCCUAGUUACACUCUCUAAGUUGUCUAUUUUCUUCCCCCAAUAUUUUUAUUGUUAUAAAAAUACACCGAAUAUAAAAACCUUAACCAGGCCAGCCGCAGUGGUUCACACCUGUAAUCCCAGCACUUUGGGAGGCCAAGACGGGUGGAUCACUUGAGGUCAGGAGUUUGAGACCAGCCUAACCAACAUGGCGAAACCCCGUCUCUACUAAAAAUACAAAAGUUAGCGGCGCAUAGUGGCGCCUG